UACAGAGGGUGCGAGCGUUAAUCGGAAUUACUGGGCGUAAAGCGCGCGUAGGCGGCUUUGCAAGUCGGGUGUGAAAUCCCCAGGCUUAACCUGGGAACUGCAUUCGAGACUGCAUUGCUAGAGUAUGGGAGAGGGAAGUGGAAUUUCCGGUGUAGCGGUGAAAUGCGUAGAUAUCGGAAGGAACAUCAGUGGCGAAAGCGACUUCCUGGGCCGAUACUGACGCUGAGGAGCGAAAGCGUGGGGAGCGAACAGG
rnacentral:rRNA from 1 species